AACGUGCCCUUCUCUAAGGAAUAGCCACUGGAAACGGUGAGUAAUACCUUAUACGCCCUUCGGGGGAAAGAUUUAUCGGAGAAGGAUCGGCCCGCGUUAGAUUAGAUAGUUGGUGGGGUAACGGCCUACCAAGUCUACGAUCUAUAGCUGGUUUUAGAGGAUGAUCAGCAACACUGGGACUGAGACACGGCCCAGACUCCUACGGGAGGCAGCAGUGGGGAAUCUUGGACAAUGGGGGCAACCCUGAUCCAGCCAUGCCGCGUGAGUGAUGAAGGCCUUAGGGUCGUAAAGCUCUUUCGCCUGUGAUGAUAAUGACAGUAGCAGGUAAAGAAACCCCGGCUAACUCCGUGCCAGCAGCCGCGGUAAUACGGAGGGGGUUAGCGUUGUUCGGAAUUACUGGGCGUAAAGCGCGCGUAGGCGGACCAGAAAGUUGGGGGUGAAAUCCCGGGGCUCAACCCCGGAACUGCCUCCAAAACUCCUGGUCUUGAGUUCGAGAGAGGUGAGUGGAAUUCCGAGUGUAGAGGUGAAAUUCGUAGAUAUUCGGAGGAAC
rnacentral:rRNA from 1 species